GGUCACUGCCGUAUGCAUUUUAUGAGAAAAAUGGCAACGUUGUCUUUUUUCACGCCUACGCGUUUUAUGAGAACAAUGGCAACGUUUGUCGUUAUGGAAUUUUAUUACCGUCUACCAGACGCUUAGAACGUCACAUCAAGUUCAGGAUCAUUCACUCAUUAUCUUUUCCAAAGCGAUUAUACCAAAAACCAUUUGCUUGUUUAUUUCUAUUUGUUGUCCUAAAGAAUUUCUAAGACUUUUGAUAUAAAAUAAAAAUGGAGCAAUUAAAGAAACAGUUGAACGAU